rnacentral:lncRNA from 1 species
CCUAGUCCCGGCAAACCAAUCAGCCCAUCACCACCCCAUUCCACUGAACCCUGCGAUUUAUCCGUUUCAUUCUCGCUCUCCGCUUUUUUUGAGUUAAAUCCUGGAGGCAUGGGUGACCUCCUACCAUUACCAUUAUUAUCAUUCUUGUUUACGUUCCUCCUAUCACCAAUAGCGGAGCUCCCUCCUUGCAACCUCUGUGAAAACCGCCAAUCUUCUUUGGACAAAAGUGGAGGAGGCAACCUAGGAUUAAGGUUUACGUUCGAGUAAUAGUAAGAUAAGUAAGCAGGAUCAGACCUAAGCUCCUCC